rnacentral:rRNA from 1 species
CAGUCGCCACGGGAAUACGUAGGGUCCGAGCGUUGUCCGGAAUUAUUGGGCGUAAAGAGCUCGUAGGCGGUCUGUCGCGUCUGCCGUGAAAUCCUCAGGCUCAACCUGAGGCGUGCGGUGGGUACGGGCAGGCUAGAGUGCGGUAGGGGAGAAUGGAACUCCUGGUGUAGCGGUGGAAUGCGCAGAUAUCAGGAAGAACACCGAUGGCGAAGGCAGUUCUCUGGGCCGUAACUGACGCUGAGGAGCGAAAGCGUGGGGAGCGAACAGGAUUAGAUACCCGUGUAGUCCCUGUCUCUUAUAC